GCUUCACUCACGCUGCAGACCCUGCCUUGAGUGCGCAGCUCUCCGGCCCGCGUGAACGCUUCCCCCAGACACCACCACCCUUUGGAAUGGCCAGCAGGGGACCUGCCUAUGGCCUGAGCCGGGAGGUGCAGCAGAAGAUUGAGAAACAAUACGAUGCAGACCUGGAGCAGGUCCUGAUCCAAUGGACCACCGCCCAGUGCCGCAAGGAUGUGGGCCGGCCCCAGCCUGGGCGCGAGAACUUCCAGAACUGGCUCAAGGAUGGCACGAUGCUGUGUGAGCUCAUUAAUGGGCUGUACCCCAAGGGGCAGGCCCCAGUGAGGAAGAUCCAGUCCUCCGCCAUGGCCUUCAAGCAGAUGGAGCAGAUCUCCCAGUUCCUGCAAGCAGCCGAGCGCUACGGCAUCAACUCCACUGACAUCUUCCAGACUGUGGACCUCUGGGAAGGAAAGAACAUGGCCUGUGUGCAGCGGACACUGCUGAACCUGGGUGGGCUGGCGGUAGCCCAGAGCAAUGGGCUCUUCUCUGGAGAUCCCAACUGGUUUCCCAAGAAAUCCAAGGAGAACCCUCGGAACUUCUCAGGCGACCAGCUGCAGGAGGGCAAGAAUGUGAUUGGGUUACAGAUGGGGACCAACCGCGGGGCAUCUCAGGCAGGCAUGACCGGCUACGGGAUGCCAUGCCAGAUCCUCUGAUCCCACCCACAGCCC